CCUACGGGAGGCAGCAGUGGGGAAUAUUGCACAAUGGGGGAAACCCUGAUGCAGCGACGCCGCGUGAGCGAUGAAGUAUUUCGGUAUGUAAAGCUCUAUCAGCAGGGAAGAAAAUGACGGUACCUGAAUGAGUAGCCCCGGCUAACUACGUGCAAGCAGCCGCGGUAAUACGUAGGGGGCAAGCGUUAUCCGGAUUUACUGGGUGUAAAGGGAGCGUAGACGGCUUGACAAGCCAGAUGUGAAAGGCUGGGGCUCAACCCCAGGACUGCAGUGGGAACUGUCAUGCUUGAGUGCCGGCGAGGCAGGCGGAAUUCCUAGUGUAGCGGUGAAAUGCGUAGAUAUGAGGAGGAACACCAGUUGCGAAGGCGGCCUGCUGGACGAUGACUGACGUUGAGGCUCGAAAGCGUGGGGAGCAAACAGGAUUAGAUACCCUGGUAGUC
rnacentral:rRNA from 1 species